AUAACCUGCAGAAGACGUACAGCAUCUGAAUGUAUACACACAUCCUCAGGUUAUUAUUAUUUUUGAUAGGCUUUGUUUUGGCCCCUGAUUUUCUUUUGUUUUCCUCUUCCGGCAGCACUUCUCAGACCGCAUGCUUAUCUAAUGUGUUCAUGUGCCCACCCUGAACGCACAACAAAACUCUCCUCACAGAACAACACACCAAACAAAACAACACAUUGUUUAAAAAUACAUAAGCACAUUCCUUGUUUGAGCACACACACACACAAAACAACCUCUGUGAUUUCAAAUUCAUCAAGAGAAACUUCAAGGACCUCCGGGGCAGACCGACACUGACCCAGCAGAAGUGAGGCCUGUGAUAACUUUCCCCUUAAUCUGGUUUUCUCCUGCAGUCAACUUUGGCUUCCUCUUCUUUAUUGAUACUGUUGUUCUUAUUCUGAAACGUCCCCAGGACCUCUCUGCUACAUCCUGAAGCUUCUGUACUCAUCAAGAAGCAGAAAAGCACCUCCACCCUAAGGCACGAAACACAGCUGAAAGAGCACAGACCAUCAGCGCAUCAUGCAGAGCAUACAUCUUUCAGAAACACGUAUCUGACCCAAAAGCAUGGCUUCAGCCCUGAAGAAUACUUCUGAAGAAAUACCCUUUGGUAAUGUCUUCAGAGGACCUCUGGGCCAUAUUGCUCAACAUCCCACCAGUAAAUAAAUAUUUGUGUGAGAUGAGUACCAAGAGCAGCAUGAAAGAUGAUGCUGGGACCGAAAAAUGAAGCCUGAGUUUUCUGCAUCUGUUCAGACCAUUUUAAAAGCGAAACUGCUGGAACACAGGUGAGUGCCUGAGCCAUGUGCUGGUAAUUCCCCCAUGCCUGAAGAACUGGAUGGAUGUAGACUUCAGAAAUCCCACCUGUAAAUCAACUGCAGGAGAGUAGCAAAGACCUGAGGCCAAACAGCAACAGAGCCACACUGGGAGGAAUCCAUCAGGCAAGGCAAAUUCAAAUUCAGUCACACAUACUUGAAGCUCAACUUCAGAAAGUUUCCUGUAGACACAAACCAUCUUCUCAGCCCCGUGUGAAGGCAGGACUUGAUCCAUGGGGUCAGCACACUUAAUGGAUGAGAAAGGCUUGUUCACUCAGCUUGUUCCUGGGGUAUUGUCUUGCUGGAGCCCGGCAUCUCAUCUGACAUGCCUCCUUUGCAGCUCUGGGAAAUGCUUUUCUCACAGUGAGCAGGUUUGGCUCAAAUUGUU
rnacentral:lncRNA from 1 species